GGCCUGGUGGUGUACGGUGCACGCUCGCAAUCCAUAUGGAAUAUAGAGCAUUGUGUGAGAGGACCUCGUUCGAUUCGAGGCCGGGCCA